UGUUUUCUGGAGAACGGGGUUCACAAUGGCGAUCACAAGUUAUCGUCAGGCGACUGGGGUUCAAAUGGAGAAUGGGGUUCCUUAUUUUGGCAAACAAGAUGUCGGGGUUCAAAUGCAGUGAUCCGGGAUCAUUCGCGCGAAAGAAAAUUUGUCCGGGGUUCAAGAAAAGAAAAAAGGAAAUCGUAAAGUUUCGGGGUUCAAGAAAAAGUAAAAAAA
rnacentral:lncRNA from 1 species